GACGAACGCUGGCGGCGUGCUUAACACAUGCAAGUCGAACGGGGUCCAACCAGUGCAACACUGGGGAAGAUCUAGUGGCGAACGGGUGAGUAACACGUGAGGAACCUGCCCCGAUCUCUGGGAUAACAGCGGGAAACCGCUGCUAAUACCGGAUGCCCUCCUCUGAUCGCAUGGUCGGAAGAGGAAAGGAUUCUGGAUCGGGAGGGUCUCGCGGCCUAUCAGCUUGUUGGCGGGGUAACGGCCCACCAAGGCUCCGACGGGUGGCUGGUCUGAGAGGGCGGCGAGCCACACUGGGACUGAGACAGGGCCCAGACUCCUACGGGAGGCAGCAGUGGGGAAUCUUGCGCAAUGGGCGAAAGCCUGACGCAGCAACGCCGCGUGGGGGAUGAAGGCCCUCGGGUUGUAAACCCCUUUCAGCAGGAACGAAACUGACGGUACCUGCAGAAGAAGGUCCGGCCAACUACGUGCCAGCCGCCGCCGUAACAC
rnacentral:rRNA from 1 species